GAAGGGGACACCCGAGCAACUGCUAAAAAGUUAUUUGACACCAAACUGGAAUGCCUAAUUUGUCAUAUCCUCAUUCCUCCAGCAAUCGAAAGAGGUCGUUUGGUGGCUAUUCGAUCAGGGUAGCGCCUCAAUACAGUUUUAUAGACUUUGCCAAUAGGUCGGCGGCUGAUUUGAUAGCCAUGAGGUAUUGAAAUUACAGGUUGUGCUUUUCUAGUUUUACCUGUUGGGGGAAGUCACCAUUUUCCAUCUGAGAAUUUAUUAUGAGUUUUGCUGCAAGGUGGAGGGGCCUUGUAUCUCUACCAGCCUGUCCAGUGAACGAUAACUUUCUCCCCAACCACCGUCAUCCCUUUGUGUGGUUAGCAAGAACUCAACACCUUUACGCACAGCUGCACAAUUGUUAUAAGUCUUGCCUAAUGCUGCUAGGCCUCCCAGAGCAAACCAAGAGCCAUACGUGAAGCACACGCCCCAAUUACCGUACCUGAUCAUAUAAUGGCGACAACAUAAUAAUGUGUGUGCUCGAUCGAGCGGUACAGCUUCUUAAAGAGCACAAAAGCUUGAAUUGCUGAAGCAGUGCACUCAACAUACCUGUUUGGAAGCUCACUUAGUCUCAAAUUCAUUCAUUUUAAAGAGGCAAAAACAAAAGGCAAAUGAAGACAGGAAAGUUACUCAUGCUCAAUAACAAUGUCUGCAAAGAAUUCUGUAGGGUUGAGCAUCUGUACAUCAAUCAAAUCAAGCAAUUAGGUAAGCCUGACCUGGGCUAUAAUACACAUGGGCUAAACCAUACUAAAGACUGAAUCCAAUCAAUUAGUUAUUAGUUAAUCUAACCUA